GACGAACGCUGGCGGCGUGCUUAACACAUGCAAGUCGAACGGAAAGGCCCUUCGGGGUACUCGAGUGGCGAACGGGUGAGUAACACGUGGGUGAUCUGCCCUGCACUUUGGGAUAAGCCUGGGAAACUGGGUCUAAUACCGAAUAGGACCACGCGCUUCAUGGUGUGUGGUGGAAAGCUUUUGCGGUGUGGGAUGGGCCCGCGGCCUAUCAGCUUGUUGGUGGGGUAAUGGCCUACCAAGGCGACGACGGGUAGCCGGCCUGAGAGGGUGACCGGCCACACUGGGACUGAGAGACGGCCCAGACGCCUACGGGAGGCAGCAGUGGGGAAUAUUGCACAAUGGGCGCAAGCCUGAUGCAGCGACGCCGCGUGAGGGAUGACGGCCUUCGGGUUGUAAACCUCUUUCACCAGGGACGAAGCGUAAGUGACGGUACCUGGAGAAGAAGCACCGGCCAACUACGUG
rnacentral:rRNA from 1 species